GAUGAAGAACGUAGCGAAAUGCGAUAAGUAGUGUGAAUUGCAGAAUUCAGUGAAUCAUCGAAUCUUUGAACGCACAUUGCGCCCCUUGGUAUUCCAUGGGGCAUGCCUGUUCGAGCGUCAUUUGUACCUUCAAGCUUUGCUUGGUGUUGGGUGUUUGUCUCGCCUUUGCGUGUAGACUCGCCUUAAAAUAAUUGGCAGCCGGCGUAUUGAUUUCGGAGCGCAGUACAUCUCGCGCUUUGCACUCAUAACGACAGCGUCCAAAAGUACAUUUUACACUCUUGACCUCGGAUCAGGUAGGGAUACCCGCUGAACUUAAGCAUAUCAAUAAGCGGGGA
rnacentral:misc_RNA from 1 species